rnacentral:rRNA from 1 species
UACGUAGGGUGCAAGCGUUGUCCGGAAUUAUUGGGCGUAAAGAGCUCGUAGGCGGUUCGUCACGUCGGGAGUGAAAACUCGGAGCUUAACUCCGAGCCUGCUUCCGAUACGGGCAGACUAGAGGUAGGCAGGGGAGAGCGGAACUCCUGGUGUAGCGGUGGAAUGCGCAGAUAUCAGGAAGAACACCGGUGGCGAAGGCGGCUCUCUGGGCCUUACCUGACGCUGAGGAGCGAAAGCGUGGGUAGCGAACAGG